GUUGGUUUUACCCGAAGGCGUUUCGCCAACCGCAGGGAGGCAGGCGACCACGGUAGGGUCAGCGACUGGGGUGAAGUCGUAACAAGGUAGCCGUAGGUGAACCUGCAGAAGGAUCA
rnacentral:rRNA from 1 species